rnacentral:lncRNA from 1 species
CUGAAUUCAAGCAUGAGAAAUCUUGGAGAAGGCAAAAGAUCUCAGGCACAAAACCCACAACCACACCUGCCCCGUAGCGCUAGCGUUGGCGGUAGUCUUCGUUCGAAGGAGGUUGUGGGCUUGGAGCUUAGAGCAUGCGCAGUCACAGGAGCCUCACGGAUUCCCUAACUACCGCUGACCCCUACCCUUCACAUCAGCGACUGGGUUCAUGCAGAAGAAGUAGCUCUUCUACCACAACAAGAUUGUACCAGUUGGUCGUGUCAAAUAACAGAACGCCAUAUGGGAGGAGUUGCUUAAUACAGGCCAUUUUCAGGCCAUCUCUUGGAUAAUUUACAGAAAAGGUCGUGAUGUGUGCAUAGAGAUGUUGGCUUCCUCGUUCAUAAUCAGUAACCGCAGAACCACCUGAAAACUGCCCCAAGAAUCUCUGAUGGCAUCACAUCCAAAAAAGGAAUAGAGGCAGAACUUGAGCAGAGAGAAAUGGCAGGCCACACCUGCAAGUCUUUGGAGACAUGAGUGUAACUGUAAAUAUUAAGAGUCUAUAAAAAGUCAGUG